rnacentral:rRNA from 1 species
AUGCCUCCGGCACCUAAAAAGUGUUUGUGGCCCAGAGCUGCUAGUCCUAUCAAAGUGGCAGUGAAAUCACCUCUCGUUCUGAGUGAUGAUGAUGAUUUUGUUUUGCGCGGUGAGAGAACAGUGUUCACGAGGAGCAAAUCAGUGGAGGAGCCAUUUGUAGUGUCUAAUAAAAGGGUCCCUCUAUUUAAGUGCACUCCUCCAACUGGCGAUGAUUUUAUAGUUGAUGCUAAAUAUCUGGUUACCUUCUUUGGUCCCACUGGCUGCAUCAAUACUGAGUUGAUGGAUCUUGUGAUGAGCUAUUGGAAGGGUAGCCCUGAGUGCAACCAUGUGUAUAAAUCUGGAGAUAGGGUGUUGCUCAGCCCGUAUGUGAUAAAUUAUCUUCUGGAGAUUGAUCCGUACCAUCAGCCAGUUGAUGAAGAUGGGCAGGAGGUCCCGAGGCCGCCCUUCAAUGUUAAACUUGCUGCUCAGAAGUUCAAGUUAUACAUUAAAGAGAACCUGCUCGCUGCAAACCUGAUCAUGCUCCCAUAUUGGAAUCUGAAUCAUUUCACAUUGUAUACUAUGAAUAAGUAUCGUGAGUCCCUGGAUAUCCAUGACUCGUGGAGAUACACUUGGCGUAACCUUUCAAGGAACAGAUUCCAUGGAGAACAUGUUGAAAUCAUAUCCAGGAUGUCGUUGUUGAUGAAGGAGGUGUAUGGCGAAGCUGCAUACAACUCUUCAAGGCAGCCCCAUUGGGAACAUCUGGCAGAGAGAUGUAGCUAUGCAAAAAUGCCAGAGCAAGGGGUUAACGAAUGCGGCUUUUACAUGUUAAAAGUUGCUUAUCCGUACGAUGGCACCAAGCUAGUAGAGGAAGUGAAGAAGCGCGAUCCACAUUCUGCCUACUGGAAGGCGGAGUGCCUUUUUAUGUUCUUUUUCACCCUAGUAAUGAGGUUUGGCGCAACCAGUAGUUGUGGGAGAUGGUUGACAUUGCUAAGUUGUUACAAGCGUAGUCGCAGGACAGCGAUGCAAGUAGAUGAAUAUGUGGAUGUGUUUUUAUGA